GAAUCGUUCUGUGUUCCAAACUUUCUCAUGUCCCGCUGGAUGCUUUACAUAUAAACAUAAAAAUGAGAAACAAAUGAGAAGAUAAUAUUAUUCAGCUCAGACCCUUGAGAUACAAAGUGAACCUGAGACAUCAACCUACAUCUUUAUUAACUGCCUACGUUAAUGGAUCUUCUUUCUCACAUGUCUUUAACAUUCGGGAUGGCGCAUGCCUCAGCCAAGCAGAACAGAUGCCUGACCCAUAAGAGCAGACCCCGUGCCACCUGCUGCAGCAGUUAGCAGUUAGUA